rnacentral:ncRNA from 1 species
CAAAGGCCUGGUCCUGACUUUAAUAUCAGUUUUAACCCAAAUUAUACAUGCAAGUACCCGCACCCCCGUGAGAAUGCCCCUCAUCCCCCCACCGGGGAAAGGGAGCCGGCAUCAGGCACACCCUUAGGUAGCCCAAAACGCCUUGCUAAGCCACACCCCCAAGGGAACUCAGCAGUAAUUAAUAUUAAGCCAUAAGCGAAAGCUUGACUUAAUUAGAGUUAAUUAAGGGCCGGUAAAACUCGUGCCAGCCACCGCGGUUAUACGAGAGGCUCAAAUUGAUGCUCCACGGCGUAAAGCGUGAUUAAAGAAAAUAAAUACUAAAGCCGAACACCUCCUUAGCUGUUAUACGCCCAAAGAGGCACGAAGUUCUACAACGAAAGUAGCUUUAACCAAAAACCUUGAACUCACGAAAAUUAAGAAACAAACUGGGAUUAGAUACCCCACUAUGCUUAAUCGUAAACAAUGAUGGAAGCCUACAAAUACCAUCCGCCAGGGAACUACGAACAUUAGUUUAAAACCCAAAGGACUUGGCGGUGCUUCAAACCCCCCUAGAGGAGCCUGUCCUAUAAUCGAUAAUCCCCGUUUAACCUCACCACUCCUUGCCAACUCAGUUUAUAUACCACCGUCGCCAGCUUACCCCGUGAGGGCACAACAGUAAGCUAAAUGGGCCUCCACCCAGUACGUCAGGUCAAGGUGUAGCGAAUGCAGUGGGAAGAGAUGGGCUACAUUUUCUGAAACAGAAUACCACGAAAGGUGUCAUGAAACAAACACAAUUGAAGGUGGAUUUAGCAGUAAAAAGAAGACAGAGAACCCUUUUGAAACUGGCUCUGAAGCGCGUACAUACCGCCCGUCACCCUCCUUUAGCCACAAACAAAAAAUUUAUAAAAACCUAAAAAACAAAAAAUGGAGGCAAGUCGUAACAUGGUAAGUGUACCGGAAGGUGCACUUGGGAAAAU